UGCAAGUCGAGCGGACAGAAGGGAGCUUGCUCCCGGAUGUUAGCGGCGGACGGGUGAGUAACACGUGGGUAACCUGCCUGUAAGACUGGGAUAACUCCGGGAAACCGGAGCUAAUACCGGAUAGUUCCUUGAACCGCAUGGUUCAAGGAUGAAAGACGGUUUCGGCUGUCACUUACAGAUGGACCCGCGGCGCAUUAGCUAGUUGGUGGGGUAAUGGCUCACCAAGGCGACGAUGCGUAGCCGACCUGAGAGGGUGAUCGGCCACACUGGGACUGAGACACGGCCCAGACUCCUACGGGAGGCAGCAGUAGGGAAUCUUCCGCAAUGGACGAAAGUCUGACGGAGCAACGCCGCGUGAGUGAUGAAGGUUUUCGGAUC
rnacentral:rRNA from 1 species